AUCCUCCCUUCGUCAACUUGGGAUGUCUUUCAUUUUUUUCUUGUGUCACUUUUUGUCAUCUGAAUUUCAUUAUCAAGGGACUCUAGGCUGAUCAAUGAAGUGUGUAUGUUUCUGAUGGACAUUUGAGGAGAAAGGCUUUAGGAAUAAGGAAAAUGUCUGCAGGAGAAGCAAAGGGUUAGGAUGAGCUACAGGGACUGAUGAAUUCAUUUCAAAAUCCACAGGUACGUAGGUGGUAAAUCAGUACAUAUAGCAAAUCUGGUCAGUGAGCAAAACCUAGCCAGUGAAACGAAGGAGAUUUUUAGCCAUGUAGUCAUCACAUGCCUGAGUAGAGUGUCUUCAUCUUUUAAAUAGACGUUUGAAUCACUGCUCUUUUAUCUCUCUAAAUGCCAAUUUCAAAUAAAUAUUUGGGCAUUGUUGACUUUCUGCCCAUAAAGAAAACCCACCAAGACUCAUGCGACACAUCACCUGCACACAAACGUGGCUAUUAUGCGCUCCAUGCCCAUGGGAUGCGGAACAAUUAGGCAGAGAACUGCUCUGUGGUCUCCCUUCUUUAGUCCUUUACUCUUCUUUUUUCCUUUUAGAAAAUGUGAUACCUGAUCUCUGAGUCUAGCAGGCCGAGGCUUCUUUUUUUUUUUUUUUUUAAUGUUUGUAUACUACAGUGUCUGGCCUUGCCCCUGACCUGCUGGUGUAUUUUCGGGCUCAUUAGUAGUCAGGAAGAUGCCUUAGCGCAUCGGUGCUGCGAGUCAGGGAUGAGAUACUCAACCACAGAGAGAGGGAGUGAGCGCGAGAGGAUACGAGCCGCGAGGCUUGUCUCCAGGAUAUGGAAGGAAGUGAGAAAUGACAGGACCGCAAGCUUUGUAUGUGGGAGCCUGGCAGGGGCGGGGGUGCGGGAGGAGAGUGCAGAGAUCCUCAAAAAAAAAAAAAAAGUGUGUGUGUGUGUGUGUGUGUGUGGAAGCCAUAGAAGAGCUAAAGGUGAUCCGAGGGGGAUAUUGGUUCCUUAUUCUGCCAGAGAUUUAAGCAGGCAUGCGAGGAAUCUGGACCAUGGUUGGCAAAAGGAGACCCGUUGCCUCCGGUAACCAGACACUCGAGCUUUUCAGGAGGCUCGGGAAAGAGCGGAGAAGAAAGGGGGCAGUGUGGUCUAGGAAAAUGCAACUUGUCGCUGAUUUGUGCCUGAUGCUUGCUGUCCGUCAGCAGCCUCCCUUACAAUCUUUUUUUCUCUCUCCCCCCCGCUUUUUUUUUCCCCUUGCCUUCUCCUUCUUCACUGAAGCCUAGGGGAGCCAGUAAAGAUUAAAUGUGCUUCUCAAAGGCAGCCACUUCAUGCUGCUAUGUUGAAGGGGCCAUUAUUAUUAUUAUUUUUAAUAGUAAGAGGAAAAGGGAGAGAGGGUGAGAGAGAGAGAAGCUAGGUAGGAUGAUGAGGGACUAUCUUUUCGGAGAGGCAAAGGGAGAAAGGAAAAAGGCAAGGGGGAGAAAAGGGAGAGAUCCUGAACUGAACAGAGGAUUGUGCCUGAGAAGAACCUACAGAGGUGGCACAGGAGCCGACUGCGCAUAGGGAGGCUCAGCUUCCAGGCAGAUGGGGAAGGCGACUGUCUAUCCGGUGCAGAACCAGCAGCUUCUGCGAAGAUGGAGGGGAAUUAUGCUUCGGAUUCCUCCGAAAUUCUGGCAGGAGGCUUCAAAGGCCCGGCGGCGGGAGUGGGGUGGGGGAGACGCAUCUCCCCAGCCUGCACCCACCCCUUCCCACCUCGCGGCUACCAAAUGACAGCCUGGUGCUGGCUCUGGGUGGUUUGGCCUUGGCUUCAGCCAAGCAGCUGAUGCAGAGGAGGCCCCGCUUGCAGGACUGGCCAAGUGCACGCAAAAGAAAGAAGGAAGAAAUGUGGAAAAAAAAAAAAAAACAGCUCUGGGGAGGUUUCUCAUUCUUUAAAAAAAAAAAAAUUAUAUUUUCAACUGAAUAUUUUCAAGAUUUGACCAGUCGCAGUCCUCCCUCCGCUACCACCAAAUUGCCUUUUUUCUCUCUCGUCAAAGCAUAAACUACAGAGUUACAGUCUCUAGAUUUGGUGUAUCGCUUCCUGCCCCCGCCUCCCCCUCCCCGCCCCGAUCUCCGUCCUCUAUUGAAACACCUCGCCCAGCCUGGCGCACUGCGAGCUCACAUUUCCCCCCCUUGCUCGGAAUGGUGCUACAGGAGGCUGCAGCCCUGCUCCGCUUCCAGUGGGUGAGUGUAAAACGCUGUUCGUAUUCGUACUUUCAUAGCCUCCAAAUCCUCCUCCUCAGCCUUCUCCUUCUGAAAACCCGAGUUCUGUGAUUUUGCAUGCGGCAUGCUUGCCCUGGGGGGAAAUAGACGCCCCAUGACUUCCUUACAGUCAGUUCUGCUAGUGGUAUACGAAAGCUUUGAAGAGACAUUGAACCCUAGUGCAGACCAUGAUUUAUCAAACAUGGGUACUCGGGGGUCUCUGUUCAUAUUAUUUUCCAUUUUAGUAAACUAUUUUGCCCAAAGCUUCCAAGAGUUUCUCUGAUAGGCUCGCGAUGGUAUGUUCAGGUAUGUACAUGCGCCCACAGAGACUGCGUAUGCGUUGUCUGUGUGUAUUAUUAUUUAAACGGGAUCUCCAUUCUGCGAGCUAAGGAAGCUUAGGGAGGGAGGGAUGCCCUGUCACCUGUUUGUCGCCUUUUUGUGCUGAACCUCCGACAGAAAUUGCUUGUCAUUCUAGUUUUGCUUUGUUCGGUCUCAAGAAAGAACAAUUUGUUGCGCUCCUCUCAAUCCCUGAGACCCUAACUUGUGAUGUUUACCGUUUAAAUCCACGGGUUAGGCUCUUGGGAGCUGCGAGUCGUGCCUCCGCAUCCUGGAAAUUGGGUGGAACUUUUUUCUUUAACGCAGAAUCAAAAGGAAAGAAAGUUUGUCUGAAGUGAUUGAGGGCACCUUGAGGUAUUCAUUGUUAGAUGGGAUCAGGUGACCAGAAAGUGGCAGCUCCUGGAUUUCGGUUAAAGUAGGUAUAUAUCCUGGUAUAUAGCGUGUUGGCUGCUCUGUGUGCGUAUGUGUAUUACUGAUGCCUGAAGCUUGUGGAGCUCAGCUAUCCCGGUCUGUUCCUUGAGAGCAACACGCAGUACUAUCCGAGCGUAAGAAGAACAGCUCAGUACCUGGUGCUUGACCUCAGAACAAAUCAGCCGAAAUCCCAGCAUGCCCCGUGCCUCCAACUUUUAAACUCAACAGUUAAUCUUAAAAUCGUGCCCAAUUAAAAUGGACAUGCAGACAUGUUAUAUAUUCAGUGCCCACACAUGGGUACCAUAGAUGGCGAGACAGUGAACGAAACAGGCACAAAUAGGGCGCAAACCAGUAGUUUGGGCUAAAAUAUCAAUAAGCUCAAAAAAAAUUCUACACUUGCUCUUCUACCUGAAGGAUGGAAUGCGUGAAGAAAGGUUAAAUCUGUUACUUUGCAAGAUUUUUAUAAAAAUGAAAGGAGAGGUUGAAGCCUCCUUACUUGGCAUCUAUUCUAAAAUGUAUGUGAUCAAAGUAAUAAGGAUUAGAAAUAUAUUUUCUAAUUUACACAAAAGGAAAGAAACAGCAUGUAUGCGUACACAAUUAUUGUAUCUUUUAGGAGUAACAAAGCCUAUUAUUCAUCAUUUGAAAAAUUGGAAAACAUUUAUCAAGAUUUAAAUUCAGUCCAAUGAAGUUAUUUGUAACACCGAACUGUACAUUUAAAAUAAUCUUUUUGUAAAGUAAUUGUUAGCAUUACCUAGUUUGUAGUUUUCUGAAAAUGUAACUUUUUGUAACAAUAAUUUCAGUGAUUUAGACCUAGCUUAUAGUCGGAGAGGAGAAACAGUAACUUACCUUUCUUUUGUUGUGAAAAAUUCCAAUAUGCUAUUUCAUUUAAACAAUUUUAGUAUUCUUGGACCAACAUUUGUCUUCUGUUUAUGGAAAAAGCCUAAAUCAACCCUGGCUUCAAAUGAUUUCUUCUUUUAAAGACUUUAUUUUGGUUAUAACCUCACUUUAUGCAUAUAUCAAAGGAUGAGAGAACUGUUCUUUUUCUGGUUUUUUUUUUUUGAGUGUCUAUUUCAGUAUUAGUCAUUGGCUCCAAAUUGUAGUCAAGAAACCAUUUUGUAUCAGAAAACUAAAUUGAGAAGACAAACUGUGCAGCAGUCCAACCAUGCUUUUUGUUGAAACCUCUUGUGUAGUUGUAAUACUUAAAUAUUACUCUCCAGCCUUUGAUAGUCUGAAUGUGCUUCAGAGAAAAGAGUUGAUUUUCAAGUCCUCUUUUACUUUCUAUACAAUGGAUUGAUGAUUUUCCCCAUCUUAGCUGAUGUGCAUGCAUAGGUACUUGGAAAUUAUGGAAAGGCACCUAUUUAACUUAUGGAUUCCCACACAAUUUGUAUCAAGUAUUUGCAAAACAUUUGGUGCUUUGCAAAGUCAAAGCCACAGUUAAUUCUAUGAGAAUGUGUGCAUGAGUCCCUAAAAACAUGAUAGAUAUCAUCUGUGAUUUUUAAAUGAUAACAGGAGAGUAAUUUAAUACAAGUGAUACAGUUGUUAUUCUAACGCACUUGGGGUUUUUCACACAUUUUCAAGAGGAUUGCUUGUGUUCUGAGGUUGCUAUCAUACAACUGAUCACACAGGCUUUUCGGAGUACAUAACCACACACAUGAUUUUAUAUUUCAGCGGGGAUCUGCUUCACUGUAAGGGCAGGUUUCUCAACUCCCCUUCUUCCUCACCGAGCCCAUCAGUGAAGUUCAGUGAAAUGAAUAACAUAAUUGGUGGUUGGUUCAAUCACUACCAGUCUAGACUAGCCCAGACGCAUCAAUUAGAGGGGGCUGUCUUUUAAAGGGAGAGUGCAACCGAAACAAGCAGGGCAUUAUUGAUACUGAUCUUUAAAAGUGCAAAUCCAGCUUGGCAGAUAAAAAAAAAAAAAAAUAAGGCGGGGAAUUGGUGGGGGUGGUUUGCGUUGCGGGAAGAAAGAGAGAAAGAAGCGAACUGGAGUUUUCGGACACAGAAGGACAGGAAGCUUGAGAGAAAAGGAGGGGAUAAUGAGUGAAAUGCAAUGCAUUACCUCCUUGGAACCCAGUUACAAUCCAGUUCACGGGGCAUACUGGUUCACCAUAUUUUUAACUAGAUUCACUCCCACCAUCAUUUUUUUAUUCCCUUUUUUUUUGCCUCUGCUUCCAAAGAAGUGCCAACUCAAAACCAAUGUAGUUGGAAAUUCAGCAUCUCUAGGAAGCUCUAGUGAGAAUAAAGCCAAGGAAUGUGAACCAGCCCAAAACUCCUUUUGCAACAUUUUUUCCCCAAAAGGAAAACACAGAAGAUGUUUAUUUGUGAGUCUGUAAUUCCACCUUUUUAAAGAAUCAGCUGUACUAAUGAAUAGUACUUAUUUUAAAUCCAGCACCUGGGAACUAAUUUUAUGGGCAAGACACCUUUAGGUGAAUAGCUCAUAGUUUUUUGUUGAAUACAGUAAAAUUAUGAAGAAUGUAACAAAAGGCUUUGGUAGUUUGGUGGAGGUUUUUAUUUUUAUUUUUUGGUGGAUAAAUAACAGAUGAUUUAGAAAGCAUUAGGAACACAUCAAGCCCCAGCGAAAGAAAAUGUUUGAUUGGUAUUAAUUAAAACACUGCUAAUAUAUUCUAAUAAAAUCAAAUUUAACAUUCUAAACUAAUCUGCUUGGUAUGUCAAAGGAAAAGAGGAGUAUUAUUUUAUUUGCAUCUCUGCAAUCCAAAUGCAUUUGCUCAUUCAGCAGAAUUAAUUUUUAUCACCACCCUGUUUAAUCUCCUCACAGAUUUAGCUAAACUUAUUCUCUCAAACUACAAAGGAUCAGAGUAGGGAAUCCAUGGAAGGUAUUGGAAAGACUAGUUAAUGUAUUUAGUACUGCCUUUAUAUUUUACCAUUUUCUUUUCUCUUCAUUCACUAUCAUGGGUGUUGAGGAAAGCAGUGAGGCUGCAGGGAGAACGAGGAAUGGUUAAUUUUCCCUCUUUCUCUCCUACCUACAGGCUUAUUUAGGAAUUUCAGUUGCCAAAUUAUUCAAGUGGCAUUUAUUUACAUGACUGAUGUUGCUCUGUUGAUUAAUAUCUCAUUUAUCUCUAACUUCAGAAUCUGUUUUAUUUCAAAUCCCUAAUGAAACAAGGCUCUUAAGCCAGAAACCAAUCGCCUUUUCUCAAUAAUUUUCAACUGAAGUCCUCCUAAGAGAAAGUGAGGAGAUGCACGCAAAAUUGUACUGACUAAGUGAAUUUUACUAACCAAGGUCUUUGUUUCAUUUUUAAGUCAAAAUUUCCCCAGAAAAUGUCAUACUUUUAUGAAACAGGGAGUUUUAUGCUCCUUCUGGUAUAACUCUCACAAUGGAUAAAAUUGCCCCAAAAUGACAUCGUAGCCAAAAUGUUUCUCCUCUCAUUAGUCUCUCAGGACUAUGAUAUCAUAUGUAAAUAUGUGCCGAACACAAAAAAAAUGAGUGGGCCAUAAAUACUGAGGACCACAUGUGUAUGUUUCAAAGUGAGGAAUUCAGCACACUGUCAAGGGGACGUGAACUACUGACGGUACUGCCUUUUUGCUCCAUUGCCUUUUCCAGUUCUUCAACGUAAAAGAGCAAUCGCAGUUCGGUUUCACAUGUAUUGUUCUAUAAUCCAGGCAAUAAAUGCUAAUUAGUAAUGCUCAAGGAUCCGACCAUUCAGAGUAAUUAUCAUAAUUUACUUCUUCCUUGUUAAAGACAUUCCUUGCUGAUUAAAAAAAAAAAAUUAAAUCGUCGUUUUACCCUUGCACUGCAGUGGAAAUGCAGUGGAGAGAGAGAUGUUCAAGGUACAGCAGUGCCAUUCUGGCUGCAUUCGAAGCCACUGACAUGUGCCUCAGCGUAUUCCAAAUGGAAUUGCAACUUAAUUUCUAAAAAGAAAUUCAUGUAAAUGCAUAAAGUUUUGCAUGUGCACCAGGAAUGUAUGAUUUUAUUUUACGAAGCCCAAGACUCCUCCUUCCUGGCCCACCCCCUCUCUCAAACCACUUACUGAGCAGAACAAAGGAAACUGCUAACUAUAGAGGCAUCAUUAAGUGUGAACAGCAAAAGCAUGAUAAAGUAUGUGAUAUGACAACAUAUUUCAUUGCACAAAAGUGCAGAUAAUUAAAUAAUUCAAUAGUAACCCUGACUAAUUAGCAGAAAGAUCUUUAAGGAGGAAUCAAGAAAAGGGAUCCAAUCAACUUGAAUAAUAUGCUCUAUUAUCCAGGAUCACAAAUAUAUAUUUGGUUAUUUGAUGAUUGAUUGAUUCAUACAGAAAGAUGAGGACAAAAGCUUACUCCUCAAAGUGAAGCUUUGGUCUGGUCUCCUCUUUAGGAGAAAUUAAUCAUAUGCUUUAUAAGAGCUGAAUUUUACAUAGAGCUCUCUGUUUUCAAUCAAAGGUAUAACCUGCCAUUCAAUUGUACAUUUCUCUUUUGUCAGUCGAUCUAAAAAAUUGUCAGCCCCUUAGCUUUUCGUACCGUUGCCUCAGAAUAUAUAUAUGAAGUCUCGCCCACAUUUUCUAAUGAGGCUUAUGUUUAAGUUUGUUCUUAUUGCAUGAAGCAAGUAAGGAUCUUAUAUACUAAAGGAACAGAAUAUAUAACCGGGUUUGUUUCUUAUUGCUUGAAGCAAAUAAGGAUCUUAUGUAGUAAAGGAGCAGAAUAUAUAACCAGGCUGGUUAUUAUAUUUGGUGGAACCCUCCUCCCUUGCUUUAUCUAUCAAGGUAAUAUUCCCAGUUUCAUUGUUCAUUGGUCCUUCAAGGAAGAGUUUCAGCUUUUACUUGAGGGUUGUAAGCCCAUUAGAGGAAUAAUUCCCUUUGGAUACUAUACAGAAAGAGCCACCUGCAAAAUGUUGAUGCUGUUAUUGAAAUCUCAAGUGGAUUCAGCUUUCAAAAAAUUAGAUAUUAGAUGCAUCCGAUAUAAUUUGAAAUGUGUAAUUACACUAAUGUGCAUAUAGUUCUGUGUUGCUUUGCAUGAAGCCUACUUGAGUUGUUUUUUUUUUUUCCCCCUUGGGCAGUUCUCAUCAUUUGAAAUGGCUCCUGAGGAGAAUGUUUUGAAAAUCAGCUUUUAAAAAAAUUCCUUGUUAGUUCACAUAAGAAUAAAAGGGCUCUACAGUCUGUGUUCUCAUGCAAGAAUGAAUGUGUGUGACCUAGACGUUGGAAAUUAAUGACCUCUGAAAGGGUUAUCAUGUGGACACUUGCAUUGUUUGCAAAAUAUUUGCUGCUCUUUACUGAUUUAGUCUUCAUCCUGACUUUGAAUGACUUGAAGUAAUGGACGGUAUUAGAAUAGUCAAUCUUAUUCAUAAGAAAUCCAUUCCUUUUCCUGGAAUAAUGAGAUAAAAUAGUAGGGAAAAGACUGUAGGCAGAGAUAAUCAUUUUAAUUUAAUCGAAGUAAACAAAAUCAUAACAAUCAUAAACAACUUCUUUCCUCAUGUUCCUCCAUUUUGCAUGGUGAAUAAAUGACAACUGCCUAAGUCAUUUAUGCGCUAACAUCAACUUCCCUGUUGGUGUCUCGAGGUGUGUCUCCUUUGACUGGAGACCCCUGCCCUCCACUCCAAGUAGCUGGCGCCUGAAGAUCUAGCUGUUAAGGAAAAACCCAGGCAGAGCAGCAGUGAGGUGAUUGGUCACCCUGGCCCUCGGUGCUCACUACGUGCUCAGUAGGUGAAGAUGCUCUUGAUGCAAAUUUGGAGAAUCAUUACCAUCAGAUUACAGAGUGUCCCAAUUUAUGUUUAUACAUUCUGGAGACAAAAAGGAUACCAAGGAGGCUCAUGUUGAGAUGACACAAGAUAUUACUCAUUCCAAUUAAGUAGGCAUAGGCCCCGAAGGCUGAUUUGUUAAAGCAUUUGACUCAUAGCAGACACCUAGGAUAUGGUGAUUCACAUAUUUAUACUCAAAACUCAUUCCUCAAACUUCAUUUUAAUAGUGGGGUCCAUAUUAUGAAAGAGAUGUUUUGCCUGGGCUGUAUCUAUGUGACAUCAAAGCAGUACUUGGGUUUACUUUUUAUCUGCUCAUGUAUACAAAGACUUUCUGUUAUUAGCCACCCAGAGGAGUCUCAAAAAAUUGUGUGAAGGGUCCUUCCUUACUACAAUAGCAUUUAAACUUAUUGACAAAUGAACCUUGCACAUAGGUAUCAAAGGCUUAACACCCCGCCGUUCUACUCUGUGUUCAGAAAAUAAUGAAUUCUGAAAUCUGUAAGCUACAUAUUUAAUUCCUCACCCAGGAUAGGUGAUUGCAUGCUUGAUUGGAAUAGAAAAAUACCUAUUAGCAGUAUUUAACACUGGGUUAUUUUUACAGGUUAUAGAAAAAAUAGACUAUACCUGCCGUCUUGAAAAGUGACAUCUUCAAUGUAUCCGAAGUGUUGAGGGCAGAAAGCAAUUAUAUGUGGCAGUAUAUCCCUUUUGGUAUGUCUAACUCACUAUGCAUCUUCAUUGAGCUAGUGUAAUGAAGAGGCCGACCAUAAGGGCCUUAGUGAAAAUCACCUGCAAAAUAUAUUUCAUUCAUAACAACUUUUGUAGACUAAAAGAAACAUUAAUUCAGUUCUUCCCAAAUAGCCUCAUCUGUAAAAAUGAGAUGAGUGGUUUGGAUUUUAGUUGGUCUCUAAAUUCUUUUACAGCUCUAAGAAAUUUUGAAGCUAUUCUAAAGUAUUGAAAUACAAGGACAAUUCCAGGACCCUGGAAUCUGGAGUCUAUUUGUACCUACAGUUGCCCUUUAAAGUUAUAUUUGAUUCCACCUUCAGGUACUGUACUUAAUAACAUAUUUUGCCUUGAUGCUAAAACAGGAAAGACUGAAGUUCAUUUUCAGGAAGGGCAGUGACAGAAAAAGGGAACAGCUGAAGAAUGAAAAAAGAUACACAGUGGGGGAAGGAAAUUCUUGAUCUGAGUUCUAAGCUCAUUUCCUUCAACAUUCACAUAGAAGAAACCCAGACAAGCACCUGCUUUUCUAUUUUAAGACCAUAUUCUUUGGUCCUUCUGCCUUCAUUUAAUUUCUUGCAUUAUUGUUUGUUUUUUUUCCAUUCGGUUGACGCCUUUGAGUUUCAUGUUUCCCUUUCCAUUGAUUCAUUUGAAUCGUAGUCCCUUCAAAAGCCCACAAUAGUUAGAUGAACACACCACACUUCCUAAAUUCAAUCUUAACAUGUACAGAACCACCUGAAAAUCACCCCGCCCCCAUUUUCUGAAACCAUGCCGAAUGUGUGAUUUUUUUCUUAAAUGAUGCGAGCCUGCUCUUCCCAGCUUGCAAGUCUUUGAACAUGUUUGCACCUUGCUUUCUCUCUGCAUGCUGUCCCUCUGCCAAUUCUACAUUUAAGACAUUUCUUUCUUGCUUUCUCUCCCUCCCUCGUCCUUUAUUCUUGCCCUCUCUUUUUCCUCCCUUUCUCCCUCCUUCUGUCCCUGCCUCCCUUUUGUUUUUUCUUUCAUUCUUUCUUUCAGUGGGCACCAUGUGUCCUGCUUAGAGCCAAGCACUAGAAAUACAGAGAUACAGUACAGACAUACAAUGGUACAAAAAUACAGUACGAAGAAUCAACAUUAACUCCCAACUAUUCUAGUGACUUCGUUCGCUCCUGCAUUACUAAGCACUUAUAUAUCCACAAUGAUUUUAUUUUGCAUCCCAUCUAGAUUUAUUUGAAUUUGUCCUUAAUGUUGUUACAUUCUUCUGUUGUUUUCCUAUGUGACCUAUUUCAGUGAGUUGCCUGUUGGAUAAGCCGGAAGCUUUUCUUACCGAGCUUUUUUCUCCCUGAGCAAUUAGUGUGGAGCGCUCACACGUGCUUAAGCAAGCUGUUGCUUGACUGAUUCUUGAGUGAGGUGGACAAUGAGAAAGAGCUACAUUUUCCUGGUGAUGCAGCAUUUCACUUGUGCUUAGAAAUAGCAUGCUCCCAACGUAUCAUUACAUUCAUCUAUUUUUAUUGAAGAGUCAAUGUGAUAACUUUCUGUGACAUGUUCUGUUAUUUUUUUAGUUGUGUCGAUGUUCCCUUCAGCUGGUCCUAUAGCCCCUUCCCCUCUCAGGAAUGUCUCCACAGCGAAAGGACAAGGACUGCAGAGACUGCCCCACUGAUGGACACUCAAGCCAAUUGUGAAAUUGAGACAAAGACAGCCAUCUCCUGAAGACACCUCUCCUGCUAAGCCGCACACGCAAAUGGUGCCAUUUCAGGCAAUAGAAUUCUCACAACGAGAGUCAAUCUUUUCAAGACACUGAGCAACGUAAUCAUGACAUCUAGAUUUCUGAGCCAAGGACUUUUCCCUUCCUCAUGUGUAUCCCUCUGUUUGUAUUUAAAUUCAGCGUGACAUUCAUUUUUUAAAAAUCUCCCUCGUGUGAAUAUGCUUAUUAGCGCACCAACUUUUAAAAUUGAAAGUUGCACAAAUGUGUUAAUGUUUUGAGGAACAAAAUGAAUGCUAUAAGUAGAUUGAUAUUCAGCCAUGCCCAGCGUCUGAGCUUAGGAGUGACCUAAAAAACAGAAAGUACUUUUGAAAUAACAAAGUAUUCAAAAGUAAUCUGCAGGAUAAGACAAUGGUGAAAACUCAUCAGGCAGCAAAGAAAUACCACAUUGUCCCACCUGACACCAAACAACCUUUUUUUUUUUUUUUUUUUGUUAUCAAGCAAACUAGGUUCUGUGGAACAUGAUCCCUGCCUCCAAAGAGGUGAAAUCUAGUGAGAGGUACAUAAACUUUUGAAAAGCUACGUAACGAAUCAGGCCAAUAGAUGAUAAGAACAAAACCAAAACACAAGCUAUGAACAAGGAGCUCAGAGGAAGUCACCAGAAGCUGAGCAAAACUAGUCUGUUUAGGGAAGAAAGUUCCCAUAGGAGGAAAUUAGAAGAUGAAUAUUAAAGGAUGUCGAAGAUUUAGAUGAAUGGAAAAGAAGGAGAAUAUAGAGUCCUUUAGAUGGAGGCAAUAUUGUGUGUGAGCCAGGACAUGGAGGAAGGAAUCUUAUUGGUGACUUUAGGAAAUUAUGAAUACACGUGUCACUGGUUCAUCCCAGACAUUCGGUGCCAAUGUAUCUAUACCUAUGUGAUGAAGACUUGGCCCACACACUGCCCCUCUCUCACCCCAGGUGUCACCUAGAAUUACAAUCACAUCUCUUUGCCAUUAAAGCAAGUCGGAGUGAUUGAUGACUAAUAUGAGAACCUGUGGCUUUUCUGUUAACCUGAUAAUUGGCAUUUAUUGAGUUCUCGCUAUAUGUUAGGCAUUUUAAGUAUUAACUCAAGCCUUACAACAGCCCUGCCAAAUAGGUAUUAUUAUCCCCAUUUUACAGAUCAGGAAGCUGAGUUUUAUUGAGGUUAAGUAACACGCUGAACUGCCAUAUACAAGGUUCACAUUCAGAAUUACGGUGGCGAAGCUCAUGAUCUAAAGCACUAAGUCACAAUAUUGUGGUCAAUAAUGUCACAAUAUCACCACUUCUGUAUUCUUUGAUAGUUUUCUAUGGCAAACAAAGAGCUACUUCACUUAAUCAUCCCCUCAAAAAAUCUCAGUUUUUUCUGAUUAAGUUACACUCAAGUGAUAAAAUAGAAAAUUGAAAAAAAGUAGGGAAUGGAGCUUAUCAGCCUUUGGGCUUUCUUUUUUUGUGGGGCAGUCUUUGAUGACUUUGUUCCCUUGGUCUGCAUGAAAUCUCAAGUUCUUGAGAAUAUAAAAGGUGGCAGGAGAGCUUCCAGGUCAUCUUUUCUACAGAUGAGAUAAAUCUAAGAGCACUCAGGGGAGAUCACACAUUUGAGUGUGGCAGAGCUAGGUCCAGAAGCCAGGCCUCCGGUCCACUCUCAGAGGCUCUGAACUACUCGAUCCUGCCCAAGUGAAGUAUGAACUUGAAUUUACCAAUGAAAGCAUUGUAUCCAGGUGAUCAGGGAGCAGUGUACCUAGAAGAUUGUUUCAAUUUUGUACCUCCUUGGCUUCCCACCUCAAUGGGAAAAAGAGCUAGCUGUGAACUAAUAUCUUUAGACAGAGAAAUUAUCUAUCAUCCAUCCCCAAAGAACACAUCAUGGGUCAAGUUAUAUGUACAGUGUCUUCAAUGAUACCCUCUGGUUAUUUGGAGUUCUUAGCUCACGUAAACAAAUCAGAUCUACUAAUGAGCAUUUUCUUAACCAAUUUUAUGUACAGUAUGUAUUUGUAAGUGCUUCUGCAUGAAUAUUUAUUCAUGACUGUUUCAUCAGUCCUUAUGUUUCUGAAAAUAUUGAUGGUUAUUUGCCAUUUUAAUCCUCACUUAUCCGUGUAACUAACUCAAGAAUACUUCAGCUAUAAAAAGCAAGAACUGAGGAAACCUUGCUUUUCCUUGACAGCCUCUUUGCUUUUGCUCGGCAUUUAGUAAUGAUUAAUAAAGUGGUUAGCUGGACAGCACAGAGGUUCAAAAUGCAAUUCUGUCUUGAAGGAGUCAGUUAAGCUGGGUCUAAUUAAGGACAAACAUCUAGAUGCUUGGAACAUUUGAUACAUAUUCGCACAUCUAGGUCUGAAUAUUUGCUGUAGAUUUCCGUUUAGAUACCUGGCAUUGUCAGACUUAGAGCUUGUGGUUCAGGUUGUCCUGUUUUCACAAUGAUGGUUGUUGGCCGUAUCUCACACAGUUCUCAUUAAGUGAGUUUAUAAAUAAACAGGGAUUUUUUUUUAAAGAGUAGCCAAGCACAAAAUGUGACUUGGUUGAUAUUUUAUGAGGUUCCUGUCAUAUGUCCCCUGAACUCCCAAUAAAAGCAACGUUGCAUCAA